rnacentral:rRNA from 1 species
UACGGGGGGGGCAAGCGUUGUUCGGAAUUACUGGGCGUAAAGGGUUCGUAGGUGGCCAACUAAGUCAGACGUGAAAUCCCUCAGCUUAACUGGGGAACUGCGUCUGAGACUGGAUGGCUUGAGUGCAGGAGAGGAACGCGGAAUUCCAGGUGUAGCGGUGAAAUGCGUAGAUAUCAGGAGGAACACCAAUUGCGAAGGCAGCUCGCUGGGACGUUACUGACGCUGAGACGCGAAAGCGUGGGGAGCAAACAGG